AGAAGAUAAACACUUCUUUUUUUUCCCCCAAAACUUAAAUUGCUCGACCCACACCACGCGACAAUCAUGCACGGAUUCAAAUUUUAUCAGCAAAUAAAAACGUACUUGCAAUCAGGCAUGUAUGAUUCCAGUUGUACAAAAGUCGAUAGAUGGAGUAUUAGACGCUCAGCAAAUAAUUUCAUCUUGAAAGAUGACAGACUGUACUACACUGGCCCAAAAGACAAUUUCAUGCGGCUGGUUGUAAUGGAUGGUGACGAAAUGAGGGCAGUUUUGCACGAAUGCCAUGAUCAGAAUGGCAACGGGAAUCACAGCGGUGUCAGACGCACCAUCGACCGUGUGGUGGCUGGCUACUACUGGCAUAGUAUUAAGCAGGAUGUUGCUGACUGGGUCAGAGGCUGUAUCUCAUGCCAGUUGAACAACUCACUAAAAACAGUGACACAAACAAACCAUCCCAUCAAGGUGGACGAAAACUGGAGUGUGGUUGUCAUGGACCUGAUUGGCCCGCUCAAGGAGACGGACAGAAACAAUCAAUAUAUUCUGAUGAUAACUGAUUUGUUUAGUAACUUUGUUGUUGCUGAACCACUAGGAUCCAAGUCUGCUGUUGAGGUUUCAGCAGCACUUGUGUCAAAAUUCUAUUUGUAUGGCAUAGUCGACAAAAUAAUAUUUGAUCAAGGUGGAAAGUUUGUGAAUGAGCUGAACAAAGAGAUCUUCACGCUCCUGAAUAUAAAACAGGCUGUGUCAAGCACCUGCAAUUACCAAAUCAACGAGGAGGACAAACUUAUUCAUCAAAAUACUAAAUGUGCUAUCGAGCGCUUUGCCAAUGAGCCUCACAAUGACUGGGACCUUCACCUGCAAGCUGUGGUGUAUGGCAUAAAUACUGUCGAGCAGCGCCCCUUGAGGAAAAGCCCAUUUUCCCUUUUCUUUCAUCGUCGUCACCGCCUUCCUAAGGUUUUGAAGACUUGUCCCAAGGGUGACAAAACUGAGGUUGGGGACCAAGAGGAACCCCUGGAAGCGAGGAUCAGAUCUAUUACAGAUCUCAAUAAAAAGGUUCUUGGAAACAUAGAAAAAGCCCAACAGCAGCUGAAGAAUAACUUUUUUCCAUCACAUAAGAGGAGCAGCGAUUCCUUCAUUAAAGAAGAUGACGUUCUCCUGUCCGAAGAUCUAAAGAGGCAGAAAAUCACACCCGGCUUGAUGUCUCUUCAUAAAAGUCCAUGUAGCGUCAUCAACCUGCCUGACAAAGGAGUGGUCACUGUAGAAAAGGAGAGUUGGACCAUGCCGACAGUCGAUUCGAAUUCUUUGAGGAUAGAACCGCCCGAUAUACAAAAAUAUAAACUGAUGGGGGGUUUUGAGCCUGAGGACCAUUCAUAUGCUCUUACUGAUCCAAAGCAUGACCAUGCAGAUCCUCAUUCCACUCAAAAGUGCCUGGACAACUUUGACCCUCUUCAAGAUGAGCAUAUAAACCACGCCCUGCAUCAAAGUUGGACUAUGGAUGGACAAAAUGGGAGCUGACCUUAAUGCGAGUCUUGCUGAGGAUUCUUUGCUUUGUAAUAUUGUAAGUCAAUCUUUAACGUAUAGUUGAACUGUGCUUGUUUUAUUUUUUGAUUCCUACAGAAUUUUCCUUGGCAGAGCUCUAGUAAUUCCUGUGGAAUUUUUAAGACUGAUGGUAUGGCCACGGGUUGGCUUAGUGGACCAUCCUGUCUUCUGGCGGAACUUGAGCCCAUCUUCUAGGUUUCAAAAUCUUCAACCAAACCACAACAUGGAGCCAGUGAAAUGCAGCGUUGCUGAGAGGGAAAGUGUCAACCAUCUUUUGAAGGGGUAAAAAACAGCAGGAGAUCUUUGGGAUCGCUGGGAAGACACAAAAUAAAGACCAGGCUGAAUCGGUAUCAGCCUUCAUAAUAAAUAAUAUAAUAAUAAACAAUUACAUUAAAAUUGACUCACUGUACUCUUUUUGUUCUAAUUAAGACGACUUAUAUAUAUAUGUAUUAAACCCCUAGUUGUGUAUACUUGCAGACAAAACGGGUAAUCGUGGAAUGUUAUUUCGUUUCAAAAUAAUUCAAACUUGAGCGUUCCCUCGAUCUCGUGCCUUGUUUUGAAAUAUGUGAUUGGUUGAUGUGACGCUCUCGCGAGAACGCCAUAACCAAUAAGAGUGCAGCAGCACUUACUCAAAUGGGAUGUUUGAAUGUCCAAGUCCAGUGACCGGUUUUGUUGCUUUUUGGCUCAUCGAACUCAUCCGAGAUUACAAUACACGUUCAACGGAGGGGAUAAACCAGUGAAACCUCUUGAGGUUGUGGCUGCAUCAUGAGCAACACUACUGUUUCAAAAAAAAAUCCAGCCAACAUCAAAG